CAAAUAGCACGCAUGCCUGGUUCCUUAAAGUAGCAGUUACAUUCCUAAACCAAAAUACUCCAAUCAUAUUAAUAGGGCGGCUUAAAAAAUAAUCUGGACAAGAUCCUGUUGGGGAAAUAUCCACCCUCGCUUCUGCUCCGAUCAGUACUUUCAUGGUAUUUAUUACACAGCCACAGGGUGGAGAUGCAUCAAUUUUUAAAUCUUUAGUCAGGAUUGGAGACUUAUGGCAGGUUCUGGGGGAAUGUUUCAUUAAGACCCCGUCUAAAGUUCCUUUGGUGACUCGUUGCUGGGUCAGCGCGCCGCGCGGCCCAGGGUCCGGAGCUCCUGCCCCUUUGUUACGCAGUGGACCCCGCCGGCAGGCCCGGCCCCACGCCCACGGGCACCUCUGGGCUUCCAGAAACAGCCCCGGAGUCCACACGGGCUCCGACCGCCGAGCCGGGGUCUGGUCACACGGGCAGGACACUACACCCACGCGGGGAUGCCCGGGGCCGGCGCCCUCCAGCACCUCCCACCCAAACACCCGCGGUGCCCCCGGCCCGGACCGGAUCAGUGCAGGCGUGUGACGUCCGCUCCACAUGACGGGGGCGGGGGGCGGGCGCCAGGGGCGGGGGCGCGGGCAGGGCCCUCCCCCCCCUCUCGGCGCUGCCCGCCCCGCCCACGGCCCGCCCCCUGGAAGCCCAGCAACCAGCGGCCACCGCCCCGCCCCCGCCCCCGGGGCGGGCAGCGUAGGACGAAGGUCGCCUGGGGUCGCCCAUGGACCCUCCGGGUGACCUCGGUGCGGCCCGGCAGCCGGGCACACCGUGCGUGGACGAGGCCGGGGCGCGGGGUCUCUCCCAGGGGUCUCCCUGCAGGGGUCUCCCGGAGGGAGUGGUACACGUGGGUCUCUAAAGCGACCACUGCAGCAGCACCAUCCAUCCCCGAGUGCAGCAGCACAGCAACUCCAGCAGUGAAACUGAGAUGCUACCUGGCCAGGUCUGGCCCAUAUACUUCCACACGCACUAGCGAUAUUCCUAGGGAGGCUGGUGCCAGAUUAAGCCAGUACGAAACGUGAGGCGGCCCGUGACGCACUCCGCGCGUGAAUGUGCCCAUUGUGCAGGGGAGACGCGGCCAGCGCUCCGCAUUCAUAAGUCGGUGGGCAGCAGAACUUUCACCGACCGUGAGCAAGUCACAUUCUAGAAUUUGCCAUGGACUAAGUAGCAACUUCCAGUGAAAAAAUAAAAUUUGAAGUUGGAAGGUACAUGCUGUCCUUCUCUUUUCUACGGAGUUAACACCAGUGUCAACAAUUCUCGUUCUCUGUUUCGACUUGAAUCCGAAAGCGCCUCUUGUGCCCAUUCUUUGCAGGAGGACACUCGGAGGAGCCAGCGUCUCUAUUUAGACUGCCGUGUGCCUAUCUAGCUGCAGACUCGGGUAAAAGCGUGUCCACGUCUACGGCAUACAGCUGUGCAAAGCAGAAGCCUGCGGAUGCGCGGGGCUGGUCGGACUUAGUGUGCAGACACAUGGGCGCAUGCACGCGCGCGCGCGCACACACACUCACACCCCAAAUUACCUCCGGAAUGGAGAAAGCCGCUGCGGAUUGGCCGACAGAGCCGUCAGUCACACCCAGGGGGCAGGGAGAUUUUGCAAGGCUGUUUCCUUCCCCCCCCCUCCCCACCCCCCCGUUUCAUUUAAUGGUAAAACAACAGCAGAGCUCUGAAAGUUAGCCAUCUGCGCCGAGAGAGUUUGGCUUCUUUAACGAGGGGGAUGUCAGACAGUAUCCAUUUAGGUAUAUUUUGUACUUCCACAGUGGAUGAAAA
rnacentral:lncRNA from 1 species